AAGACAGCUAUGUCAGUAGUCGCUCAUGGUAUUUUCUCAAUAUGUUUGGACUAAGGGGUUUAUUUAGUCUCAUUUUGGGGGAAGAAAAUGCCACGGAUGAUACACAGCGUAUGAUGCAAAUGAGUGGAUUUGGCUUCGAUCCUUCCAAGGUUUGUUUUUCUCCAAGGUUUUUUUUAUUAUUAUUAUUUAAAAUUGAUUUCAAAGGCUUAAGCAGUAACUUAUAUUCUAAGUGUCAAACAUUCUAAUUUUUCACUUUUCCUUCCAAACUUCUUUCUUUACUUUACAUUU